ensembl:snRNA U6 U6 spliceosomal RNA
GUGCUUACUUUGACAGCACAUAUGCUAAAAUUAGAAUGAUAUGGAGAAGAUUAGCAUGGCACCUUUCAAUGAUGACUUGCAAGUUUGUGAAGCAUACAAUAUUUUU